GCUCAGCGCUGUGACUGACGGACAGCCUCCGAACCCGGGCGGGACAGGAUCCCGACGUCGGGAUCCGCAGAGGUGCGCUUAGGUUUGGCGAGGGCUGAGGUCACUGAGAGACCUCUUGGAGGAACGAGUACGCACGCUGGCGAAGCUGAGGAGAAUUUACCGUGGUGGUACGAGGGAUAUUUUGAAUGAACGGGAGCUGCCUGUCCCAGCAGCCAGCUGUGAGCCAAGAAGCCCCAGAGCCAUGAGAGGGAACCAGAUUUGGUGGAUACAAAUGCAACCAGAGCCAAUUUAAAAACAAGUCACGAGCUUCAACAGAUGAUGCCCAUUUUACAUUAUUGUCAAGUGAGACAAACCAUCUCAUGGACACCAACC
ensembl:lncRNA